UAAUUUCUUCUUGUCUUUUUCUUCAAAUCACAUGAAAUCCUACAAGCCCUCACUUUUCAACUAUGUGUAGUCCCGAGUAGUACACCGUUAUAGUUUCUAUUUGCUGAAUCUUCAUCUUUGUGGUAUGUAGUUAGAUGAGGUCUGAGCCGUAAUUUGAAACAAAAGUUUAUGGGAAAAGAUUGGUUUUAUUGUUUCAUGCCUAAACCAAGUACAAGCCGAAACAGACAAAUUACAAAACUAAUCUUCGAGACACUGAAAAUAAUGCAAGUUUGGAUAUUAUUUUUCUCAUUCGUUUACCCUAAACCAUCUGAAUUUCACAACCCACAAUUACACAUGAAACUCAACUCUUUGAAACACAUAUUUCUCUGAACAAAACCAGAUUGCAGCCACAUGCUAAUCAGAAAAAUGAUUAUCUGACUCUAAACCUAUAUCCUGAAAUCGCCUGGCUGAGCCACCCUAGCCUUACUCAACCCUUUCCGUG